GGCCUGAUGGUCUAGUGGUAUGAUUCUCGCUUUGGGUACAACAUACUCGGUUGCAAGAGGCCCCGUGUUCGAUCCACGGUCAGGCCC